UACGAAGGGGGCUAGCGUUGCUCGGAAUCACUGGGCGUAAAGCGCACGUAGGCGGCUUUUUAAGUCAGGGGUGAAAUCCUGGAGCUCAACUCCAGAACUGCCUUUGAUACUGAAGAUCUUGAGUUCGGGAGGGGUGAGUGGAACUGCGAGUGUAGAGGUGAAAUUCGUAGAUAUUCGCAAGAACACCAGUGGCGAAGGCGGCUCACUGGCCCGAUACUGACGCUGAGGCACGAAAGCGUGGGGAGCAAACAGG
rnacentral:rRNA from 1 species